rnacentral:rRNA from 1 species
AACGAACGCUGGCGGCGUGGAUAAGACAUGCAAGUCGAGCGAGACCAUUUUUUCUUGUAGCAAUACAGGGAAAAGUCUAGCGGCGAACGGGUGCUUAACACGUGGGCAACCUGCCGAGAAGUGGGGGAUAGCUCGCCGCGGAAAGGCGAAUUAAUACCGCAUGUGAUCAGAGUGGACAUCCAUUCAAAAUUAAAGUCGGGGCAACCUGACGCUUCUGGAGGGGCCCGCGGCUCUCUAUCAGCUAGUUGGUGAGGUAACGGCCCACCAAGGCUUUGACGGGUAGCUGGUCUGAGAGGACGACCAGCCACACUGGGACUGAGACACGGUUGCCCAGACACCUACGGGUGGCAGCAGUCGAGAAUUUUUCUCAAUGGGGGAAACCCUGAAGGAGCGACGCCGCGUGGAGGAUGAAGGUCUUCUCAGGAUUGUAAACUCCUGUCAUUGGGGAACAAUGCGUAAAUAUUAACUGUAUUUGCGUUGAUAGUACCCGAAGAGGAAGAGACGGCUAACUCUAGAGUGCCAGCAGCCGCGGUAAUACAGAGGUCUCAAGCGUUGUUCGGAUUCAUUGGGCGUAAAGGGUGCGUAGGCGGCGCGGUAAGUCGGGUGUUGCGAAAUCUCGGAGCUUAACUCCGAAACUGCAUUCGAUACUGCCGUGCUUGAGGACUGGAGAGGAGACUGGAAUUUACGGUGUAGCGGUGAAAGCGUGCGUAGAUAUCGUAAGGAAGACCAGUGGCGAAGGCGACUUUCUGGUCUGUAACUGACACUGAGGCGCGAAAGCGUGGGGAGCAAACAGGAGUCUUAGAUACCCUGGUAGUCCACGCCGUAAACGAUGAGUGCUAAGUGUUAGAGGGUUUCCGCCCUUUAGUGCUACAGCUAACGCAUUAAGCACUCGUCCGCCUGGGGAGUACGGCCGCAAGGCUGAAACUCAAAGGAAUUGACGGGGGCCCGCACAAGCGGUGGAGCAUGUGGUUUAAUUCGAAGCAUGUACGCGAAGAACCUUACCAGGUCUUGACAUCCUCUGACAACCCUAGAGAUAGGGCUUUCCCCUUCGGGGGACAGAGUGACAGGUGGUGCAUGCCAGUUGUCGUCAGCUCGUGUCGUGAGAUGUUGGGUUAAGUCCCGCAACGAGCGCAACCCUUGAUCUUAGUUGCCAUCAUUAAGUUGGGCACUCCUGUAAGGUGACUGCCGGUGACAAACCGGAGGAAGGUGGGGAUGACGUCAAAUCAUCAUGCCCCUUAUGACCUGGGCUACACACGUGCUACAAUUUAGGACGGUACAAAGAGCUGCAAGACCGCGAGGUGGAGCUAAUCUCAUAAAACCGUUCUCAGUUCGGAUUGUAGGCUGCAACUCGCCUACAUGCAUAAGCUGGAAUCGCUAGUAAUCGCGGAUCAGCAUGCCGCGGUGAAUACGUUCCCGGGUCUUGUACACACCGCCCGUCACACCACGGGAGUUUCCUACAACACCCAAAGUCGGUGAGGUAACCGCAAGGAGCCAGCCGCCUAAGGUGGGGUAGAUAACUGGGGUG